rnacentral:rRNA from 1 species
UACGAAGGGAGCUAGCGUUGUUCGGAAUCACUGGGCGUAAAGCGCACGUAGGCGGAUGUGUCAGUCAGGGGUGAAAUCCCGGAGCUCAACUUCGGAACUGCCUUUGAUACAGCACGUCUUGAGUCCGGAAGAGGUGGGUGGAAUUCCUAGUGUAGAGGUGAAAUUCGUAGAUAUUAGGAAGAACGCCGGUGGCGAAGGCGGCCCACUGGUCCGGUACUGGACGCUGAGGAGCGAAAGGCGUGGGGAGCGAACAGG